rnacentral:tRNA from 1 species
AGAAAAGAAGUUUUAAAAAUAUUUGACCUGCAAUCAAAAGUAGGUGACCCCCCCCACCCUUUUCUA